AGAGCUCAAAUUUAAAAUCUGUCAGUCUUUGGCUGGCCGAGUUGUAAAUUAGAGAAGUGCCUAUCUGCGCUGGCCUGUGCAAAAGUCUCUUGGAAAAGGGCAUCAUAGAGGGUGACAAUCCCGUCUUUGGUACAGAGCUCCAGGGCUUCAUGAUACGCUCUCGAUGAGUCGAGUUGUUUGGGAAUGCAGCUCUAAAUGGGUGGUAAAUUCCAUCUAAAGCUAAAUAUGGGUGAGAGACCGAUAGCGAA
rnacentral:rRNA from 1 species